AAAAAAUAGAUUUAAAAUUUGGACAUUAUUUCAAAAUUUUAAUGUAAAUUUUUAAAUUUAAUUUUUAAUUUGAAUUUAAAUUAAUAUAUUAUAAAUAUAAUGUUAGUAUUUUAAUUUGAUUAUGUUUUUUAUAUCCACCUGAACCAAACAUUGACAAUGAGAAUGAUUUAUUUCGAUUCCGAUUCAGGUGAUGAACCAAACAGAAUUAGGCAAUGAGUCAUUCCGAUUCCGAUUCCAGCUUAUUUUGAUUCCGAUUUCGAUUUCGACUCCAACUUCGAGCCAAACACGCCCUGAGUUUCUCUUCUCUCUUAUUAACGUUCACGCUUCGGGGGCGUUUGGAUAGACGAAUCUAUAGAUUCAACGUAAGUCAAGUGCAGUGGUGUUUGAGUUUUUCUGAAGUGUGAUUAUUUUAUUGUUGUUUGUUUUGAUGUAACUCGUACAGUCUGAAAUUCAAUUAUUUCUUCUGUUUAUUUUUAUGUAACUUGGUCCUGAUGAAAUUAAUUUUUUAAGUUUUAUUGUUUGUUUUGAUUUAAGUAAGUGAAUCCCGUUAUCUUCUAAAUAUAGUGAUAAAUUUAACUUAUUAUAUAAUUAAAUUUUUUAUUAUUGUUUAAAGAUAAUCCUAACUUAUUAUAAAUAAGAUAAUUCUAACCCAUUAUAAAGUAAAUAGAAUUUAGACUUUAUUAUUUAAUAAAUUUUUUAGAGGGGGUUGUGUGUGGCGGAAGUCGAGUUCGGCAUUUUAGAGGAGAAAGUCGAGAGUACGUGAAGUAGAAGUCUAGCGUAACUUCAGUUACACUAUAUUUUUGACUUAGAUCAAAACAAAUAAUGAAAGUGAUGGAACUUGAGUUCCAUCCCUCCACUUACACUAAAACAAAUGGACCUAUUUGGUUCAACGUAAAAUCAUAAAAAAUAAUUUUCGGUAGAAAAGAUAAUUCGAUGGAAUUUUUUUUUUUUUUUUUUUU
rnacentral:lncRNA from 1 species